rnacentral:ncRNA from 12 species
UAACCGGAUAGCUCGACGGAGCAAAAAGCGGGAGUCGUUACCCCGUCUCCGGUUAUUCCUUUCGUAACG